rnacentral:rRNA from 1 species
GAUGAACGCUGGCGGCGUGCUUAACACAUGCAAGUCGAACGAAGCACUUUAUUUGAUUUCCUUCGGGACUGAUUAUUUUGUGACUGAGUGGCGGACGGGUGAGUAACGCGUGGGUAACCUGCCUUGUACAGGGGGAUAACAGUUGGAAACGGCUGCUAAUCCCGCAUAAGCGCACAGCAUCGCAUGAUGCAGUGUGAAAAACUCCGGUGGUAUAAGAUGGACCCGCGCUGGAUUAGCUAGUUGGUGAGGUAGCGGCCCACCAAGGCGACGAUCCAUAGCCGACCUGAGAGGGUGACCGGCCACAUUGGGACUGAGACACGGCCCAAACUCCUACGGGAGGCAGCAGUGGGGAAUAUUGCACAAUGGGCGAAAGCCUGAUGCAGCGACGCCGCGUGAGCGAAGAAGUAUUUCGGUAUGUAAAGCUCUAUCAGCAGGGAAGAUAAUGACGGUACCUGACUAAGAAGCACCGGCUAAAUACGUGCCAGCCGCCGCAGUAAGAC